GUGAAUCAUCAAAUUUUUGAACGCAAAUUGCACUUUCUGGGAUUCCGGAAAGUAUGCGUGGGUGAGGGUCAGUUAAAUAAAAAUCGGUGUUGUUGCUGCCUUUCGUGGUGACGCGUCGGAGUUGAGUUGUCUUACUUUCGGUUAAGGGAUUUAAAAUUUUGCAUGGUUUUCGAACGUGUUUAUAUGUCUUAUGUACGUAUGAGAUAUCGAAUACUUUAUUAGUUUCGGUUAUCCGCCUGAUUCGCACCUAUAAUUUUUCAUUAGAUGACCUC
rnacentral:misc_RNA from 1 species